rnacentral:rRNA from 1 species
UACGUAGGGGGCAAGCGUUGUCCGGAAUCAUUGGGCGUAAAGAGCUCGUAGGUGGCUUGUCGCGUCUGCCGUGAAAGCCCAUGGCUUAACUGUGGGUCUGCGGUGGAUACGGGCAGGCUGGAGGCUGGUAGGGGCAAGCGGAAUUCCUGGUGUAGCGGUGAAAUGCGCAGAUAUCGGGAGGAACACCAAUGGCGAAGGCAGCUCGCUGGGACGUUACUGACGCUGAGACGCGAAAGCGUGGGGAGCAAACAGG